rnacentral:rRNA from 1 species
UACGUAGGGUGCGAGCGUUGUCCGGAUUUAUUGGGCGUAAAGAGCUUGUAGGCGGCUCGUCGCGUCGGGUGUGAAAACUUGCGGCUUAACCGCAAGCCUGCACCCCGAUACGGGCGGGCUAGAGUUCGGCAGGGGAGACUGGAAUUCCUGGUGUAGCGGUGGAAUGCGCAGAUAUCAGGAGGAACACCGGUGGCGAAGGCGGGUCUCUGGGCCGAUACUGACGCUGAGAAGCGAAAGCGUGGGGAGCGAACAGG